rnacentral:rRNA from 1 species
UACGUAGGGGGGCAAGCGUUGUCCGGAAUCAUUGGGCGUAAAGCGCGUGUAGGCGGCUCGGUAAGUCCGCUCUGAAAGUCCAGGGCUCAACCCUGGGAUGCGGGUGGAUACUGCCGGGCUCGAGUCCGGAAGAGGCGAGUGGAAUUCCUGGUGUAGCGGUGAAAUGCGCAGAUAUCAGGAGGAACACCGGUGGCGAAGGCGGGUCUCUGGGCCGGAUGACUGACGCUGAGGAGCGAAAGCGUGGGGAGCGAACAGG